rnacentral:rRNA from 1 species
GACGAACGCUGGCGGCGUGCUUAACACAUGCAAGUCGAACGGAAAGGCCCUGCGUUUGUGGGGUGCUCGAGUGGCGAUCGGGUGAGUAACACGUGAGUAACCUGCCCUUGACUUUCGGAUAACUUCAGGAAACGGGGGCUAAUAUCGGAUAGGAGCUCCUGCUGCAUGGUGGGGGUUGGAAAGUUUCGGCGGUUGGGGAUGGACUCGCGGCUUAUCAGCUUGUUGGUGGGGUAGUGGCUUACCAAGGCUUUGACGGGUAGCCGGCAUGAGAGGGUGACCGGCCACAUGGGGACUGAGAUACGGACCAGAGUCCUACGGGAGACAGCAGUGGCGAAUAUUGCACAAUGGGCGGAGGCCUGAUGCAGCAACGCCGCGUGCGGGAUGACGGCCUUCGGGUUAUGAACCGCUUUCGCCUGAGACGAAGCGUGAGUGACGGUAAUGGGUAAAGAAGCACCGGCUAACUACGUG